rfam:Populus trichocarpa isolate Nisqually-1 chromosome 1, whole genome shotgun sequence.
UAAUUUAUCUAAGGCAAAUCUCGAUCUAGUUAUAACAAAUCCACAUAUAACUGCUCAGAAUCACCAGUAAAAAUUACUUUGUGAAAAAUAACAUUUUAAGAU